UUCCAAAGGUACCGUUGUAAAUCAGGCAUUGCCAUCUUUGCAGGAAGGGUCAAUGUAAAUUAUGCUUGUUGUCUCAUUAAAGUGAAGUUAAUCCUUGAGUUAAAUUUGAUAUUUCUUCUUCUCUUCCUUACUGUCUCUUAUUUACUCAAGGCUCGUAAAGGGCGAAACUGGCAAAAGAAUACACUAUUCUGAGCUCAAGUCGUAAUUCCUUAAACCCAGCUUUAAGACCCAAUUUUAGAUUCAACCCUGACUGCAUGUUGUGUCACGUGAUUGACAGCCGCGAGAUCUUAGGCUUGACUUAGGAGUUAGGCCCAAUGAAUGUUGAAUCUUGUUCUCAUAAGAAAACAGAAUGCGCCAAUUCCUACCAUGAAAAUCCGCCAAAAAGAAUAUUAAACCGGUUUUAUGGACUUAACUCUGUGGAAAAAAUGCAGAUUGAAUCAGACAGCUCAAGCCGUAAAUAAGGUUGUUGUUAAAGUCGGAUUAUUUAUGGGUAACCCUGUAGUUCCACCCUGCUCUAGUAACACAUGGUUGUGUAGAGGCUUGCGGGGAAUCCAGACUUCUUGCGAAAGAGUAGCAACUGUAGAAAUUGAAGCAGAGUUAUCUAUCUAAUAUUUGGAGCUAUCAUUUCAGCUAAAUUGGAGGCUUGGACAGCCUGGAAUGCCUGGACUGCCUUGACUGCCUAAAUUGUCUGAACUGCCUAAUGUCUUGUAAAGUGUACUCAAGGAGAAGUAAACCCUUACUCUUGUCAAAGAUUAAUGUUUAACAAAAACUUAAUGGAUAAAACAGUUUAGAUAAAAAGGGUUUUUUACUAAAAGUUAAAUUUAACUUUAAGGUGUAAAAGGACCCGCUUGCGAAAAGAAAUUCGAUUCUUGAGGAUAGAGAAUACGAAAAUGUCGCCAUUUUAUACUUAAGAUUUUUAUUUUCAGUCGAAUUUUACUCAUUUUUAAAUCCAUUUAAAAAAAAAAUCUUUUUGAUAUGUUCUUAAGGCAGAAAACACUCUCCUUGUACUAAAAUACGAAACGUUAGAAAUAGUUCUUACAUAAAGGAACUAAACACUUUUCAAAAACCAUUUGGUUUAGCAGAAUUCAUAGUUUUAAAUGUCAACGGUUUACUCCUUCAGUUAGUAACGAUAUAGGGAUUAUUAGAAAAUUAGAACUAUUGCAUGUGUUAAGUUCCUUUGUUGAUAAAUGUUGAACGGUCGAUAUUUGGUGCUCAAACUAUUCUGUUUAUUAGUAAUGAACGUGUAUAAUUGUAAAUUAGAUAAUUCUGACAGAAAACCAGUAUUUCAGGAAUGGUACAGGGCUAGAGCAAGAAUUCAAGAGAAUUCAACAAUAUUGUAAUGUAAAUAAAGUCGUGGUAUUGGGGACAGUUCCUGGGGGUGAGGGGGGGGGGGUAAUAUCCCCCAUAUUCUAGAGAGGAGGAAGAUAAGGGGGAGUUAUAAUCCUACAACCCCCAUAAAUUAUUCCCGGGGCGGUAACAACCCAGAAGAUAUGAGAGUUAACCCUCAGGAAAACAGCAGAAGGUUGGUGUGGGAAGAAGGGUGAGGGAGCUCAGUCUAUGGGAAGGAGAUGGGUGAGGAAGCUCUAUUUAUGGGAAGAAGAAGGGUGAGGAGCUCUAUCUAUGGGAAGAAGAAGGGUGAGGAGCUCUAUCUAUGGGAAGGAGAAGGGUGAGGAGCUCUAUCUAUGGGAAGGAGAAGGGUGAGGAGCUUGAUGCAUAGGAAGGAGAAGGGUGAGGGAGCCUAUUUAUGGGAAGGAGAGGGGUCAGGGAGCUCUAUUUAUGGGCAGAAGAAGGGUGAGGAGCUCUAUCUAUGGGAAGGAGAAGGGUGAGGAAGCUCAGUCUAUGGGAAGGAGAAUGGUGAGGAGCUCUAUCUAUGGGAAGGAGAAGGGUGAGAAGCUCUAUUUAUGGUAAGGAGAAGGGUGAUGGAGCUCUUUUAAUGGGAAGGAGAAGGAUGAGGGAGCUCAGUCAAUUGGAAUAGGAAGGGAGGGGAUCGAGAAUGGUCGGGGAUGGGGGGGGUGCGUUUAUUUUGUUAGAUAAGCUUGGAUUUUAUAGGGAGAGGACAGCGUAGAUUAGAGGAAAACAAGGGUCUCAGGAGGGGAGGGCAGGGAGUAUUUAAUGUUUUAUUGUUUAUUUACAAAAAAUA